GUGGGGGAUAACGAGGCGAAAGCUUUGCUAAUACCGCAUACGAUCUAAGGAUGAAAGCAGGGGACCGCAAGGCCUUGCGCGUUUGGAGCGGCCGAUGGCAGAUUAGGUAGUUGGUGGGAUAAAAGCUUACCAAGCCGACGAUCUGUAGCUGGUCUGAGAGGACGACCAGCCACACUGGGACUGAGACACGGCCCAGACUCCUACGGGAGGCAGCAGUGGGGAAUUUUGGACAAUGGGCGAAAGCCUGAUCCAGCAAUGCCGCGYGCAGGAUGAAGGCCUUCGGGUUGUAAACUGCUUUUGUACGGAACGAAAAGGCUCUGGCUAAUACCUGGGGCACAUGACGGUACCGUAAGAAUAAGCACCGGCUAACUACGUGCCAGCAGCCGCGGUAAUACGUAGGGUGCGAGCGUUAAU
rnacentral:rRNA from 1 species